CCUACGGGGGGCUGCAGUGGGGAAUAUUGGACAAUGGGGGGAACCCUGAUCCAGCCAUGCCGCGUGUGUGAAGAAGGCCCUCGGGUUGUAAAGCACUUUCAGUGAGGAAGAACGCCUGGUGGUUAAUACCCAUCAGGAAAGACAUCACUCACAGAAGAAGCACCGGCUAACUCCGUGCCAGCAGCCGCGGUAAUACGGAGGGUGCGAGCGUUAAUCGGAAUUACUGGGCGUAAAGCGCGCGUAGGUGGCUUGAUAAGCCGGUUGUGAAAGCCCCGGGCUCAACCUGGGAACGGCAUCCGGAACUGUCAAGCUAGAGUGCAGGAGAGGAAGGUAGAAUUCCCGGUGUAGCGGUGAAAUGCGUAGAGAUCGGGAGGAAUUCCAGUGGCGAAGGCGGCCUUCUGGACUGACACUGACACUGAGGUGCGAAAGCGUGGGUAGCAAACAGGAUUAGAUACCCGAGUAGUC
rnacentral:rRNA from 1 species